UCAAUAAGCGGAGGAAAAGAAACUAACAAGGAUUCCCCUAGUAACGGCGAGUGAAGCGGGAAGAGCUCAAAUUUGUAAUCUGGCGGCCUCUGGCCGUCCGAGUUGUAGUCUGGAGAAGCGUUUUCCGCGUCGGACCGUGUACAAGUCCCUUGGAACAGGGCGUCGUAGAGGGUGAGAAUCCCGUCUUUGACACGGACCGCCGAUGCUUUGCGAUGCGCUCUCGAAGAGUCGAGUUGUUUGGGAAUGCAGCUCAAAACGGGUGGUAAAUUCCAUCUAAAGCUAAAUAUUGGCGAAAGACCGAUAGCGAACAAGUACCGUGAGGGAAAGAUGAAAAGCACUUUGGAAAGAGAGUUAAACAGUACGUGAAAUUGUUGAAAGGGAAACGCUUGAAGUCAGUCGCGUCUUCCGGGACUCAGCCUUGCUUCUGCUUGGCGUACUUCCUGGGGUGACGGGCCAGCAUCGAUUUCGGCCGUCGGAGAAAGGCCUUGGGAACGUGGCACCUUCGGGUGUGUUAUAGCCCUCGGUCGUAUGCGACGGUUGGGAUCGAGGACCGCAGCACGCCUUUUUGGCCGGGUUCGCCCAACGUACGUGCUUAGGAUGCU
rnacentral:rRNA from 1 species